rnacentral:rRNA from 1 species
UACGUAGGGUGCAAGCGUUAAUCGGAAUUACUGGGCGUAAAGCGUGCGCAGGCGGUUUUGUAAGUCUGUCGUGAAAUCCCCGGGCUCAACCUGGGAAUGGCGAUGGAGACUGAAAGGCUAGAGUUUGGCAGAGGGGGGUAGGAAUUCCACGUGUAGCAGUGAAAUGCGUAGAUAUGUGGAGGAACACCGAUGGCGAAGGCAGCCCCCCUGGGUCAAAACUGACGCUCAUGCACGAAAGCGUGGGGAGCAAACAGG